rnacentral:tRNA from 2 species
GCCGAAGUGGUGGAAUUGGUAGACACGCCAUCUUGAGGGGGUGGUGGCGCGAGCCGUGCCGGUUCGAGUCCGGCCUUCGGCACCA